rnacentral:rRNA from 1 species
UGGGGAAUAUUGGACAAUGGGCGCAAGCCUGAUCCAGCAAUGCCGCGUGUGUGAAGAAGGCCUUCGGGUUGUAAAGCACUUUUAUCAGGAGCGAAACGCUGUCGGCUAAUACCCGGCGGAACUGACGGUACCUGAGGAAUAAGCACCGGCUAACUUCGUGCCAGCAGCCGCGGUAAUACGAAGGGUGCAAGCGUUAAUCGGAAUUACUGGGCGUAAAGCGUGCGUAGGCGGUUUCUUAAGUCUGCUGUGAAAUCCCCGGGCUCAACCUGGGAAUGGCAGUGGAUACUGGGAGGCUAGAGUGUGUCAGAGGGUGGUGGAAUUCCCGGUGUAGCGGUGAAAUGCGUAGAGAUCGGGAGGAACAUCAGUGGCGAAGGCGGCCACCUGGGACAACACUGACGCUGAGGCACGAAAGCGUGGGGAGCAAACAGGAUUAGAUACCCUGGUAGUCCACGCCCUAAACGAUGCGGACUGGAUGUUGGUCUCAACUCGGAGAUCAGUGUCGAAGCUAACGCGUUAAGUUCGCCGCCUGGGGGAGUACGGUCGCAAGAUU